AGCUACAAAAUUUGAUCAAUCUGGUUACUGGGCAGACUGGUCAUGUGAUAUAAGGAAGCCCUUUAUCUGCCACCAUGACUCUGUGCCUUUCACAAAGCAAGUGGUGAAAGUGAAGCUGGUGGGAAACUCUGCUCUGGAUCUGAAUGACCCUGCUGUCCUGAAAAACCUGCAGGAGGAGCUCAAACAGAAGGUGAGGGAGAAUGGCGUGGAUGCAGAAAUAAGGCUGAGCUGGAAGAAACGAGUGGAUGGAAAGAUCUUCUACCAGGAGAAGGAGGAGGAGGACCAAAAGUGACACGAAGACAUGU